rnacentral:rRNA from 1 species
GACGAACGCUGGCGGCGUGCCUAAUACAUGCAAGUAGAACGCUGAAGGAAGGAGCUUGCUCUUUCCGGAUGAGUUGCGAACGGGUGAGUAACGCGUAGGUAACCUGCCUGGUAGCGGGGGAUAACUAUUGGAAACGAUAGCUAAUACCGCAUAAUAUUGAUUAUUGCAUGAUAGUCAAUUAAAAGGUGCAAUUGCAUCACUACCAGAUGGACCUGCGUUGUAUUAGCUAGUUGGUGGGGUAACGGCUCACCAAGGCGACGAUACAUAGCCGACCUGAGAGGGUGAUCGGCCACACUGGGACUGAGACACGGCCCAGACUCCUACGGGAGGCAGCAGUAGGGAAUCUUCGGCAAUGGACGGAAGUCUGACCGAGCAACGCCGCGUGAGUGAAGAAGGUUUUCGGAUCGUAAAGCUCUGUUGUAGGAGAAGAACGAGUGUGAGAGUGGAAAGUUCACACCGGACG